rnacentral:tRNA from 2 species
GAGCAUAGCUCAGCUGGUUAGAGCACCUGCCUUACAAGCAGGGGGUCACAGGUUCGAGUCCUGUUGUUCCC